rnacentral:rRNA from 1 species
UACGUAGGGGGCAAGCGUUGUCCGGAUUUAUUGGGCGUAAAGAGCGUGUAGGCGGCUAGGUAGGUCCGUUGUGAAAACUCGAGGCUCAACCUCGAGACGCCGAUGGAAACCAUCUGGCUAGAGUCCGGAAGAGGAGAGUGGAAUUCCUGGUGUAGCGGUGAAAUGCGCAGAUAUCAGGAAGAACACCCGUGGCUAAGGCGGCUCUCUAGUACGGUACUGACGCUAAGACGCGAAAGCGUGGGGAGCGAACAGG